rnacentral:rRNA from 1 species
GAUGAACGCUGGCGGCGUGCCUAAUACAUGCAAGUCGAGCGAACGGACGAGAAGCUUGCUUUUCUGAUGUUAGCGGCGGACGGGUGAGUAACACGUGGAUAACCUACCUAUAAGACUGGGAUAACUUCGGGAAACCGGCGCUAAUACCGGAUAAUAUUUUGAACCGCAGGGUUCAAAAGUGAGAGACGGUCUUGCUGUCACUUAUAGAUGGUUCCGCGCUGCAUUAGCUAGUUGGUAAGGUAACGGCUUACCAAGGCAACGAUGCAUAGCCGACCUGAGAGGGUGAUCGGCCACACUGGAACUGAGACACGGUCCAGACUCCUACGGGAGGCAGCAGUAGGGAAUCGUCCGCAAUGGGCGAAAGCCUGACGGAGCAACGCCGCGUGAGUGAUGAAGGUCUUCGGAUCGUAAAAAUCUGUUAUUAGGGAAGAACAUAUGUGUAAGUAACUGUGCACAUCUUGACGGUACCUAAUCAGAAAGCCACGGCUAACUACGUG